UACAGAGGGGGCAAGCGUUGUUCGGAAUUACUGGGCGUAAAGGGCGCGUAGGCGGCCUGUUAAGUCGAACGUGAAAUCCCUGGGCUCAACCCAGGAACUGCGUCCGAUACUGGCAGGCUUGAAUUCGGGAGAGGGAUGCGGAAUUCCAGGUGUAGCGGUGAAAUGUGUAGAGAUCGGGAGGAACACCGGUGGCGAAGGCGGGUCUCUGGGCAAUUCCUGACGCUGAGGCGCGAAAGCGUGGGGAGCAAACGGG
rnacentral:rRNA from 1 species